GCGCCCGUAGCUCAGGUGGAUAGAGCGGCUGGCUUCGAACCAGUAGGUCGGGGGUUCGAGUCCCUCCGGGCGCGCCA
rnacentral:tRNA from 1 species